rnacentral:rRNA from 1 species
UGGCAGCAGCCGCGGUAAUACGUAGGUGGCGAGCGUUAUCCGGAAUUAUUGGGCGUAAAGCGCGCGUAGGUGGUUCAGCAAGUUGGAUGUGAAAGCCCCGGGCUCAACCUGGGAACUGCAUCCAAAACUACUGAGCUAGAGUACGGUAGAGGGUGGUGGAAUUUCCUGUGUAGCGGUGAAAUGCGUAGAUAUAGGAAGGAACACCAGUGGCGAAGGCGACCACCUGGACUGAUACUGACACUGAGGUGCGAAAGCGUGGGGAGCAAACAGGAUUAGAUA